CAGACUGGUCUCAAACUCCUGGGCUUAAGCAAUCCGCCUGCCAUGGCCUCCCUAAAUGCUGGGGUUACAGGCGUGAAUCACCGCGCCCGGCCAAGUAUGGUAUUUACAGGUUUUGAGGCUGGGGGCUGUACCACGGAGGCGGGAGGAGCUUGGAUUGGGUGUUAUGUUGAGAACACAGAUUCUAGAAUUAGUUUCCCUGUAACACCAGUUACUUCUGUGACUCUGUUUCUUCUUCCAUCUGUAAACUGGAGAUGAUGUAUAACACCGUGUGACACAUUAGUACUGUGUGAUAGUUUGCUACUGAUACAGUAUUAUCUUUUUUCUUUUUUUCCUGAUUCAGAUCCCAAACCCCGCUUUGUAGGUGCAGGAGAGAGGAGACCCAGAAGUGUAAUUCCUUCUAGUGACCCGCCUAAAGAGGGUCAAAGAACAGGAAGGAGAUUUAGAUGGUUUAAAAUCUCACAGCGGAGGGGAUUAACGGAGGGGGCGGGCAGGUGUACAGGGUGGAGACUUCCUGAUCCCAGGGUUGAAGGAUGGCGGCCCUGGCCCGCCAGCUGCAGCGUCUCCUCUGGACCGCUUGCAAGAAAAAGGAGAGGGAGAAGGAGGGGGAGGAGGAAGAGGAGGAUGAAGAGGAGGGGCGCGGGGCCCUCGAUGGGCCUCGGUCUCUGUUGACAGCGCCGCGCCGCGCCCAGCGGCCGCACGGGGGUGCCGAGGCGUCUUGUGGCCUGCGCUUCGGGGCGAGCGCAGCGCAAGGCUGGCGCGCGCGCAUGGAGGAUGCCCACUGCACUUGGCUUUCGUUACCUGGUCUGCCCCUGGGCUGGGCCUUGUUUGCCGUCCUCGACGGCCACGGUGGGGCUCGAGCUGCCCGCUUCGGUGCGCGCCAUUUGCCAGACCAUGUGCUCGAGGAGCUGGGCCCGGAGCCUAGCGAGCCCGAGGGCGUGCGCGAGGCGCUGCGCCGAGCCUUCUUGAGCGCCGACAAGCGCCUGCGCUCCCUCUGGCCCCGCGUGGAAACAGGCGGCUCCACGGCCGUGGCAUUGCUGGUCUCCCCGCGGUUUCUGUACCUGGCGCACUGCGGUGACUCCCGCGCGGUGCUGAGCCGCGCUGGCGCCGUGGCCUUCAGCACAGAGGACCACCGGCCCCUUCGACCCCGGGAACGCGAGCGCAUCCACGCCGCUGGCGGCACCAUCCGCCGCCGCCGCGUCGAGGGCUCUCUGGCCGUGUCUCGAGCGUUGGGCGACUUUGCCUACAAAGAGGCUUCGGGGAGGCCCCCCGAGCUACAGCUCGUUUCUGCGGAGCCUGAGGUGGCCGCACUGGCACGCCAGGCUGAGGACGAGUUCAUGCUCCUGGCCUCUGAUGGCGUCUGGGACACUAUGUCCGGUGCUGCCCUGGCGGGACUGGUGGCUUCGCGCCUCCGUUUGGGUCUGGCCCCAGAGCUUCUCUGCGCGCAGCUGUUGGACACGUGCCUGUGCAAGGUCCUGGGGGCGUGGCGUGGUAUCUUUGAGGCUUGGCGCAGCAAAGGGAGAAAGCCUCGGAGUUUGGGGGAGGACGGCUUUGAUGCAGAGGCAAGAGUAAAGCUAGAGGAGGGGAUGGGGCUCAAGUGAAGGACGUGGCAUGAAGUGGGCAGGGCCAAAAUACAGGAGCGGAGCCUGAGGGAUGCUUUGAGGCAGGAGGGGAGAGUUAGUGGAAGGGAUUUAAGACAAAGGGCUUGGUCUUUUGGAAUGGGGCGAUUCUGGGUCGUAGGAGCCAGGCCUGAAGUAUGAUUAGUGCUGGAAGGUGGAAGAGCAGGUAAACAUCAGAGCGGGCAGAGCUUUAGGGAAAGGGCAUUAUUCUCUCAAUAGGCAGGGCCUAGGACCGGGUUUGGUCCCAGGAGGAGAGGACUGGCAGGUGAAUGGGACGUGAAAGAAAGGGGCAUAACCAGAAUGAAGUGGGGGACUUGAACUUGGGGAUUGUUGGGAAGCUCUGCCUUUGAUUCUCCCCCACUGGGCUCCGUUUUCUCCACUGGCUUCAGGGCAGCCUGGACAACAUGACCUGCAUCCUGGUCUGCUUCCCCGGGGCCCCUAGGCCUUCUGAGGAGGCGAUCAGGAGGGAGCUCGAACUGGACGCAACCCUGGGCCGCAGAAUCGCUGGGCCACUGUCAUUGCUGAAGCUUAUUCUCAGAUCUGCCAGGUCUCAGAAGAGUGCAGAGAGAAAGGGCAGAAUGGCGCUGGGAAGUCCACCCCCACGCAUUUGGGCUCAGCCUUGGACAUGGAGACCU